UCAGGGAGCAGCCAAUCCAGGCCCAGCAGGCCCAUAUAAAAGGAGCUGCAGUGCAGCACAGAGUUCAGUUCUUUGCUGGAACUGGAGGAGUGUGGAUGGUGUGCCAGGCUGGCUAAGGAAGCUACAGGACAUUGCUGGCUGAGACUAGUGGGAGUGAGAAGGAGCUCCAGGCUGGCAGCUGGGACUCAAUCAGUACAAGGCUUCAAGGCAAGGUUGAAGAAUAUACUGGGGCCAUGGGGAAGUGGCCCAGGGAAUCAUAACAGCAAUACAACUUAAUUAAAGGGACAUGGUGGAUGGCUGGUAUCUGGAGGGUCCCUGGACUUGAACCCAGAGUAGAAGCCCCACCAGCCACCAUCAGCCACUGAUGAAGUGGUCUGGACUUUGAUUCACCCCCAGAAGGGGAACUGAACUGUUUAGCAGCCCAGCUGGAGAGCUAGGGCCAGAAAGGCCCAGAGAGACAAAGACUUUCCAAGGAGGGAGCCCUGAGGGCAUGGUCCCACACUGGGGCUGGGACUGCUUGAAGAGCGGGGACAAUUUGAGAGAGCCCAGAAGGGGCUGAGAGACAGUCCGAACCAGGGUACUGGGAUAGGCCCUAUUGGGCAGAUUUUAUCUGCAGCCUUAUCCCUAGGCUCAGUCUUCAGAGACCUGAUAGAGGGCACUGAGAUAGGCCCCCUGUUUCACUUAUACCCUGGGAAGGGUUUGAUUUUUAUCUCACAUACAGAUGGUGUGUGACUCGGCCAGAGAGAAAGUGCAGGCACAUGCAUUUGGACAAGUCGCUCAUGAGAGGUUUGCACUGGCUCCAAUGCUCUUCCACCAGGCUUGUCGCUUUCCCACUGCAUUGUCAGCACAUUGUUCAAGGUGUUUGGAGAGCCAAGUGAGGGGACAGAAGAAGAUACUUCUCCUGUAGUUUAGGUCUCCCAGUGUUACUUCCACCCAAUUCUGUGUAUAUAACCUAACGAACAUCUCUACAAGCAAGAAAAGAACAUGCCCUUACAUGUAGGCUGCACUGUACCAAAUCAUAAUAAAUAAUUAGCA